rnacentral:rRNA from 1 species
GACGAACGCUGGCGGCGUGCUUAACACAUGCAAGUCGAACGGAAAGGCCCCUUUGGGGGUACUCGAGUGGCGAACGGGGGAGUAACACGUGAGUAACCUGCCCUUGACUUCGGGAUAACUUCAGGAAACUGGGGCUAAUACCGGAUAGGAAUCCUUGCUGCAUGGGGGGGGUUGGAAAGCUUCGGCGGUUUUGGAUGGACUCGCGGCUUAUCAGCUUGUUGGUGGGGUAGUGGCUUACCAAGGCGUUGACGGGUGGCCGGCCUGAGUGGGCGACCGGCCACAUUGGGACUGAGAUACGGCCCAGACUCCUACGGGAGGCAGCAGUGGGGAAUAUUGCACAAUGGGCGGAAGCCUGAUGCAGCAACGCCGCGUGCGGGAUGACGGCCUUCGGGUUGUAAACCGCUUUCAGCAGGGGCGAAGCUUGUGGUGACGGUACCUGCAGAAGAAGCACCGGCUAACUACGUG